CCUACGGGGAGCAGCAGUGGGGAAUAUUGCACAAUGGGGGAACCCCUGAUGCAGCGACUCCGCGUGAGUGAAGAAGUAAUUCGGUAUGUCAAGCUCUAUCAGCAGGGAAGAAAAUGACGGUACCUGAGUCAGAAGCCCCGGCUAACUACGUGCCACGAGCCGCGGUAAUACGUAGGGGGCCGGCGUGAUCCGGAUUUACUGGGUGUAAAGGGAGCGUAGACGGCAGUGCAAGUCUGGAGGGAAAGGCGGGGGCUCAACCCCCGGACUUCUGUGGAAACUGUACGGCUGGAGUGCAGGAGAGGUAAGUGGAAUUCCUAGGGUAGCGGGGAAAUGCGUAGAUAUUAGGAGGAACACCAGUGGCGAAGGCGGCUUACUGGACUGUAACUGACGUUGAGGCUCGAAAGCGUGGGGAGCAAACAGGAUUAGAUACCCGAGUAGUC
rnacentral:rRNA from 1 species